rnacentral:ncRNA from 2 species
GGAUCCGAGGAGCGUUGCAGCGCACCCCCGACACUGGUCGGCGAGGAGCGUGAGGCUCGGAACAUCAUUGCAACGACGCUCAUCCACU